rnacentral:misc_RNA from 1 species
UUUAUUUAUUUAUUUUAAAUAAAUUUUUGAGUCGCUGGCCGCCAGAGCUCGUAUGCUGGAGAGGUUGGGAUGAUGCAGGGGCGACCUUAUCUGAAGUGUGUUACGUGGCGGUGGAAACUGGAAAAAUGGUAAAGGAAAAGGCAUCUUUCUUUAAUGAUGACGAAGCCAAUAUAAAACAGCAUAAACGUGACGGUGGAUGGCGAUAGCCAGCCAUGUGGGUCUCAUGGUCUUUUUCUUGGACUAGUAUUAGUCAAUCGUGUCUUUAGUUUG